rnacentral:RNase_P_RNA from 5 species
CUGGGAAGAUGGGCGAUUAGGUCCUUUGAGAAAUCAUUGGGUCAGGAAAGUCCAGACAGCGCAGAGUAGGGUGGCCAGCGUAAGCUGGCUCGGGUAACCGCAAGUAUAGAGCAACAGAAACGAGUCACAGUCCGCCAGCAGGCGGAUGUGGUGAAUGAAACGGGCAAUCCUCCCCGCUGCAAUCCUAGAACCAACAGUACUGCUCGUACAUUUGUUGAAAUGAGGAGCAUUAGAUAAAUUAUCGCAGGGAAAGCAGACUCAGAUAAAACUUUCCCAACAGAAUCUGGCUUAUACUCUUCCUAGGCGA